rnacentral:lncRNA from 1 species
CCAAAGAGAAGUUCGAUUGUAAACCUAGGAAAAUCUCCUUCCUAUAAGGAAGUGGCACUUGCCCCACCAGGUACCAUCUCUAUGUUGCAGGAGAGAGUUUCUGAAAAUGAAGUUCCUGAUAAUCAAGAGGUUCUAAUAGUUGGAGAGGAGAGCAGUGGAGCAGAAGAAAAUUCUGAAACAAUGAGAAGAGAUGCUGUUCUAAUAGUUGGAGAGGAGAGGAGUGGAGCAGAAGAAAAUUCUGAAACAAUGGAAAAAGAUGUAGAAUCCAUAAAGGAAGAGAACAUUCAGGAUCUUGUUACAGAAUCUACUGAUCAAGUGCAAAAUGAAAC